CAACCAGGUCUAGAACCCAAACCUUCAACCCCUGAGCUUUCCUGCCUUCGAGUCCUCGGAGCUCUCCUGGAGGCUGAGCAGGCAACAGAGCCUGCUCCUCAGCUGGAUGUGGCCCGUGGGAGGUGGAGAAACUGAGGCUCAGAUAAAUGACUAAGAAGUAAAGUGAGGUCCCAUAGCCAGUGAAUGGCAGAGCAGGGAUUCGAACCCAGCUCAGGUCUCUCAUCUGGGAAGUGGGAUGAUAGCGCCAACCUAGCUGGAUUGCUGUGACUGCCAGCACAAUGCCUUCUAAGGGUUCAAGAUGAGAUUACUUAGUCCCAGAUGGGUUAAGUAACUGGCCCAAGGUCACAGCGCUGGUAAGCAACUGGGCUUCAAUCCAACCAUCCUGACUCCAGAAGCCUCUUUGAACUACCACCUUCUGCACCUGCCCCAGGGCUUCUUCGCCUGAGCCGGUGCCUUGCUGCCGCCCUGCUCAUCUCUUCUGGGAAGAUGCCUCUCAUCUUGCCAGUCCUCAAGCCAGAAGCCUCCGGUGCUGCCCUAGGGCUCCCUGAAUAGGCAUCCCUAAGGCAUCCCUCCUGGUGUUCAAACCACAUCCUUCCUGGCUAAGCUUCCAUUCCCCAGGGUAGCCCUCCACACUUUGGAGCCUCAGCUCACCUCUCACUCUCACACUUCAGUUUCACACUUCCCUUCUGAAUGGUCCCACCUCUGUGCUUUUGCUUAAGCUGUGCACACUUCCCAGAGUGCUCUUUCCCCUAUGUCUGCCUGUGCUCCAAUACCCUAUGCCUGAGCUGACCCAUGACAUACAAGCACCUACAGAGGCCUGGGGGAAGGAGGCAGUGGUAUGUGUGUCAGUGUGGGGAGUCAGUGAAGAGGUUUGGGGCUUUAGGGUCAGUUAUGUGACUUCAGGGCAAGUCCCCAUCUCCCUGAACCCCAGUUUCUGCAAAAUGAAGAUAUCCAUCCCAGCUUCUCCCAAGGUUUAUAAUGGUAAUCUGUGAGGUUCUGGCACAUGAUGAAUCCAUAACUACCCGUUGUGACAAGUUCCCCACUUGUGAAGUCAAAUGAAGACCCCCUGGUGUUGACAGUGCAGGAAAACCUGUGCCCGAGCACCUUGUCCCUAGGGAGAACCCUACCUUCAGUGCCUCUCUGAACAACAGGGCCAGGAAGGGGUCACUGUAUAGCAGUUGGUCCCUAGUGACCAGUCCUGGCAGAGGGCCUUUAUCCCACUUCCAGUAGCCCAGCACCAACCAUCCCCAGCUCUGGGAGGGGGUGGGCAGCACCCUCCUUCCUCCACAUUGUUGCCACCUCAGAGAGUCAGAAUCCAGGGAGACAGUCUCCUGGCAGCGGAGCUCCUGCUGCCCGCCAUGGGUGUCUGUGAUGCUGCCGUGCCCACUGGGGGCUGCAGGCACUCCAGCAUCAGGAUGGACUAAAUCUCGGGAGUGGGAAGGGGACUCCAGCCAGGGGCACUGGAGACAGGGCCAGCCUGAGUGCCUGCUUCUCCCAGGGGCAGGUGCCAGCAUGGUGCACCCCUCAAGGAGUGUGGCAGGUAAGAUUGAGGUCCUGGCUGCCCCAGGCUCCUGUGCCAUCGAGAGGGAAAGCACCUGGAACAGGUAUACAGUAGAUGCUUAGUGAUGAGGAGAAUCUUCACUUGGUGGAAUUCUGAACACUUUGGGUACCACCAGAGUCAGAAUUCCCAGAGGAGGAGGCAGGCAUUUGAUAACGGAUGUCUGGAGGAUAUAGCAUGUUCAACCUUCCCCUCUCCAUGAGAGGAAGUGGUGACCUCAACCCCAGCACCCUCCUCUGCCCAUUCACACCCACCCACUCCCACCUCUCUGCCAGCCUCAGUUGGAUGUGGAGCAGAAUGUAAUGAGGACUUACCUGUCCACAAGGACUUCACAACUGUUCCAAGGCGAUGGAUGGGCAGGUGCUAACGCAGCCCCUCAGUGUCCCCCUUCCCUUGCUUUUGGGGUGGGCUUGGGGCCCCCGGGGGGUCCUAACUCACUGAAGAUACCAGGGCCCAGCUUCUGAGUAUUCCUAGAGGCCAUUUCUACCCCUAGAAACUUUACAUGGAGCCAAAAGCCCAUUUGAAGCUCAGUCUGGGCCAGGAGAGGCUAAUCAUAAAAGGGAUAUUUUUUAAGUGUACAGAAAUAAGAAUUUAUUUUUGAAGACAUGAUUUAUAUUUUGAAUGGCUAAUGCACUCACAUGAUUCAAAAUUCAAAAUUCCAAAAGAACCGACAGUGCAAAGUCGCUCCUCCUUUGGUCCCCACCACCCAGUUUCCCUCUGCAGAGGGAACCUUGUUGCCAGUUCUUGUGUAUUCUUCCAGAGAUCUUCUAUGUAUAAACCGUCAUCCUCCUAGGAA
rnacentral:lncRNA from 1 species